AUACGUACUGGGCGAACGUUACUCGGAAUCACUGGGCUUAAGGGGUGCGUAGGCGGCUUGCCAAGUCGGGUGUGAAAGCCCUCGGCUCAACCGAGGAAUUGCGCCCGAAACUGGCAGGCUUGAGUGCCAUAGGGGUGUGCGGAACUUCCGGUGGAGCGGUGAAAUGUGUUGAUAUCGGAAGGAACGCCGGUGGCGAAAGCGGCACACUGGGUGGCAACUGACGCUGAGGCACGAAAGCCAGGGGAGCGAACGGGAUUAGAAACCCUAGUAGUCC
rnacentral:rRNA from 1 species